UUCUUCCUCCUCAUCUCCGUCGCCCUCCAUUGCCAUUCAAUUUUACCUUAGAACCCUCCUUUUUUUGGUAUUUAGAUUGAUUCAACCCAAGAAACCAUCAAAUCACAUGAAUCUAAGAAAGAAAAUUUUAUGAGCAAAAUUGCAAGGAGCAAUCAAACCGUGAAUUUGAAAAAUCUAUUUGAAAGUUGCAGCCUGCAGGUACUUGUAUGGUUAUACACAUUUGUGUUUGUUUGUUUUUUUUGAAAAAAAAUGAGAUUGUGUUUAUCAUAUUGCAGAGUGAGGAAACGGUGAUGGAGAGAGAGAGAGAGAGAGAGAGAUGGGGGAUGGCGGUGGC
rnacentral:lncRNA from 1 species